GGAGACAGGGUGAGAGCACACUGGAACAUCUGGAGAACAUCUGGACCACAGAGCAGCAGAUCAACCAAUCAGAGAGCAGGAGCAGAGAGGAGGAGGGUCAUUCGGUGAUUGACAGCUGAUAAGCGACAGAUCCGUUGAUCGGAGGAUGUUGAUGUGGAGGAGCUUCCUGUGUGUGUCUCUGGUCUGCGGUCUGACCCUGGACCAGAACUCCAUCAGGUCCUCCAAGGAGACCACGCAGCUCCUGGACCGUUUCCAUGGUGACCAGGUGGAGCGUCCCGUGCGGCGGCGGACAGAAACCACCUUCAAUCCCAACAGAAGACAGACAGCUCGGUGCUCGACUGAGGACUGCUACGGAGCGCCGGUGGGAGGCUGCAGUAACAGAGCUCAGAGGAGACCGUCCCCACAGGACAGACCGGUGGACAGAGAGACGGACAGACAGAUCCACACAGACGGCUUCAACAGAACCAAAGCUGUGGAGAUGGCGGUCUGCGUGCGUUCCGGGGACUGCGCCGCCGGGCUGUGCUGCGUCCGGUACCUCACCGGGCGGCGGUGCCAGCGGAUCCCGGUGGAGGGCGAGGCCUGUUUGCUCAAAGGCUCGGGCAAACUGAGGAGGAAGCUGGGCCGCUGCGACUGCGGCCCGGGUUUGUCCUGCGGCGCCGCAAGCCGGGCGGAGUCGGGCCGGGCGAAGGGGCAGGGCGUGUGUAAGCCCCGCCCCCCUGGGCAGGGCCACAGGAACACAAGGCAUUCUGGGAAGAAAAGGAGGACGGCCUGUUGACACUUCAUGAACUCUGUUAAUUUAAGUAUAAUUAUUCCCACGAGUUCAGACGGUAGAACAGUGGUUCUCAAACCGCCGCCUCAUCGCCGCCCGACGGAGACGGAACCAAACGGCCCGUGCUGAGUUUUUAUUGAAAUAAGGCAUUGUGUGACUGUGUGAGUCUGUGUGUGAGUCUGUGAGUCUGUGUGAGUCCUGUGGGUGACUGUGUGAGUCUGUGUGACUGUGUGUGACUGUUUUAGUCUGUGUGUGACUGUGUGAGUCUGUGUGACUGUGUGAGUCUGUGUGUGAGUCUGUGAGUCUGUGUGAGUCUGUGUGAGUCUGUGUGUGAGUCUGUGAGUCUGUGUGAGUCUGUGUGUGACUGUGUGAGUCUGUGUGACUGUGUGUGACUGUGUGAGUCUGUGUGUGACUGUGUGAGUCUGUGUGAGUCUGUGUGUGACUGUGUGAGUCUGUGUGACUGUGUGAGUCUGUGUGAGUCUGUGUGACUGUGUGUGACUGUGUGAGUCUGUGUGACUGUGUGAGUCUGUGUGAGUCUGUGUGUGACUCUGUGUGAGUCUGUGUGUGAGUCUGUGUGUGAGUCUGUGUGACUGUGUGAGUCUGUGUGAGUCUGUGUGUAACAGCAUAAAGAACAUGUACCUUUCAUUUGAAACAGUUCUGUCCAAAUGUAAAACUUGUAAAGAGAAGAAGCAGGUGGACCAAACUGAUGUUCCACUGUGGAUCCAUCCGUCUUCUCUACGUAGUUUGUGUGUCUGUGUCCUUGAGCAAGGCACUGAAGCCCGGUGCUUCACACCAGCAAACUGCUCCUUAAUUACUAAGAAGGAGUAAAAUGCAGAGAAUAAAUUCCCCAUGUGGGAUUAAUAAAGGAUUAUAUGUAUAUUUCCCAGUUUGAGAACCACUGAGUUAGAAGAAUGUUU
ensembl:lncRNA